GGGGAUUUAGCUCAGGGGAUAGAGCAACUGCCUUCUAAGCAGUGGGUCGGGGGUUCGAUUCCCUCAAUCCCCG
rnacentral:tRNA from 1 species